AGCAGCCGCGGUAAUUCCAGCUCCAAUAGCGUAUAUUAAAGUUGUUGCAGUUAAAAAGCUCGUAGUUGAAUUUCGGGGUCAGUAGGCUGGUCGUGCCACAGGUACGUACUGGUCUCACUGAUUCCUCCUUCCUGAUGAACCGUAAUGCCAUUAAUUUGGUGUUGCGGGGAAACUGGACUGUUACUUUGAAAAAAUUAGAGUGUUUAAAGCAGGCUAACGCUUGAAUGCAUUAGCAUGGAAUAAUGAAAUAGGACGUUCGAUCCUAUUUUGUUGGUUUCUAGGAUUGACGUAAUGAUUAAUAGGGAUAGUUGGGGGCAUUAGUAUUCAAUUGUCAGAGGUGAAAUUCUUGGAUUUAUUGAAGACUAACUACUGCGAAAGCAUUUGCCAAGGAUGUUUUCAUUAAUCAAGAACGAAAGUUAGGGGAUCGAAGACGAUCAGAUACCGUCGUAGUCUUAACCAUAAACUAUGCCGACUAGGGAUCGGAUGAUGUAAUUUUUAAUGACUCAUUCGGCGCCUUACG
rnacentral:rRNA from 1 species